AGCGGAUUCUUUAGCAGUGAUGGAAACGAUGACGAUCCUGCAGAGGUAAAAUUCUCCAUCGCCUUAAAAAGCGCACGGCAGAAAAGAAAAGAGAGACAGAGAAGGAGAGAGAGAGAGAGAGGAGGAGCCUGCUAAGCAGAGUCAUUUCCCAUGGAGAGCUCAUUCUGGACCAGAACCAAUUUAUCCAGGUCGUUCCAGUAACCGAUCUGCAGAUGAUAGACGAUGGGGUGAUCAAUCCUGUGUGUGCGGGCUUCCGGGUAAAAUUACGAGUUCGUUCCAUGUCGAUGCCCUGAUUCCAAGGAGCAGCCGGGUUGGCCAGACAGUCUCCAGCGUUGCCUCUGCGAGAGAUGUCGAUCUUCUGUCUGCGCAGAUUCCGAAACGCCUCCGCCAUCACUAGCACACCAUCGUACGUCAAUGAAGAUGUGUACUGAGGAGCAAGGGCUGCAGGAUGGAAGUGCUAAUCAAUGGGAGUAGAGAAGGAGCUCCAUGUUAUCAACAGGGGGAAAGCAAGGUUUUUGAGCUGAGGACAGCACAAUGAGGAAAGCGAAGCUCCGUUUCACAGAGAAUUACAGCCAGAGGACACGCUGUCCUCUACAUUUGUUCAUAUCCUCCAGCGCGCCAUCACUGGAUAAACUGCGCCAGCACUCACCAGCUUUUGUCUUCUCCAGAUGUUAACUGAUGGACUGGAGUGGUGUGGAUUAUUGUGAUGUUUUUAUCAGCUGUUUGGACUCUCAUUCUGACGGCACCCAUUCACUGCAGAGCAUCCAUUACUGAGACACUGAUGCAAUGCUACAUUUCUCCAAAUCUCCAAACUCAUCUACGUCUCGGCUGGCCUGAGGGUCUUCCAGCAGUCUUCUGUAACUGGCGUCGUUGAAGUUCUCAACACAGAUGGCACUGACCUGCCAACCGUUCUGACCCGCCUUCUCCAUGAUGGCCUGCAGGAUGGCGUAUCCUAGCAACAACAACACCAAAACACUCUAAUGCGACUGUAUAUCAUCACCUAAACAUGCAGAUAGUAUAGCUUUGUAUGUUCAUAAAUCUCAGUUAUAUCAGCGGUGAGAUUGAACAGAGACAAUAGAGACAAACUGAGAAAUUUAAACUUUUAGAUUGCAAUAUCUGCAAACAAAAGUCAGAGAUCCCAAACUCAAACAUUUCUCAUCAAAUUCUUCCAAGUGCAAAUAAUAGCUCUGUACUCAACAAUUAUCUCAUUUUAGACUAUUUCUAUAAACAAUGUUAUGUUAUUAUAAUUGUAUUAAAUUAUGCAAUUUCAUGCAACUACUAAAAAGUAAGAUGCAACUUAAAUCUAAUGACAUCUCUUUACUCUUACUGUAUGUCAACAUUUGUCUAUAUUGUCUAUUUUAUAAAAAAUGGGAGACAAAGAUGAGAAAUAACUGAGAACUCCAUUAUGUCUGCCAAAAUCUAAAAAAGAAACUAUGCAAUUUUAUGCAAAUAAUAAAAAGUGUAAAAAAGAUGCGACACAAAUCAGAUAAUAGCUCUAUACUUUUACUGUAUGUCAACUUUUGUCCCAUUUGUAUCUUUAUUGUAUUAAAAAAUGGGAUACAAAGUUGAAACUUACAAGAGAAAUAACUGAGAAUCCCAUUCAGGGUUAUUAUCUAAUUGUUAACUACAACAAUAAAAAACAUUUUUGUUUCUUAAAAUAAAAUAAAUCUCUAAUCGAUAUAAUAUAAUAUAAUAUAAUAAACCUUAAUUUCAACUAGUUGCCAAGGCAUUGUCAUUUAUUUUGUUGAUGUAAAAUAUCUAAAACUGAAAUAAAAUUUAAAAAAAUAAUUAAAAAGUAUAGACAUUUUUUAAAUGAAUAAAUCAAAAAAUGACAAAAACACACAAAAAUACUAAAAUUAAAAUUAAAACAGAAAUCUAAAAAUAAAGAUUAAUUUGAAAUAUUGAUUAAAAACUAAGAGGAUCUCAAUAAUACUCCAAAAUGUCUGACAAAGUAUGAAAAAAUAAACUUUUUAUAAAUUAAAUAAGUUUAAGUUUAUGUUUAUAAAAAACUAUAUAAAUAUAAAAAAAACUAAUAAAAAUGACAAAAGCACACAACAAAAUUACUUCAACUUGAACUAAAAUUAAAAUGAAAACACAAAAAAAAAACUAAUUCAAAAUAUUAAUAAAAACUAUAAUAGUACCUAUUAUACUAAUAUACUAAUGAUACUUAAAUAACACUGACUCCAUUAUCAAAGAAUGAAAAAAGAAACUUUAAUGUAAUUGUAUGUGAAUACUAAAAAGUAAGAAGCAGCGUAAUUCAGCCACAUUCACCUUUCCAGACUCUAUGUGCGUGUGUGUGUGCGUGUGUGUGUGUAUUUCUACAGGUGUGUGCUCGGCUCCGUCUCCUGUCCAAGCGUCCCGUGUGUAUUCUGCAUCAGUGUGCCAGUUAUGUCGGCCAAGAGCAACAGAUGUCCUUUAAAUUGGCCCUUAGUCGCACCGCAGGACUUUGGACAUCAGGACAAAUGCAGCAUCCAGCGCCCCUGUGUGUGUGUGUGUGUGUGUGUGUGUGUGUGUGUGUGUGUGUGUGUGAGAGAGAGAGAGAGCAGGUUCAGAACAACUGAUAUGACACAAACCACAACGCACAGACAAACCACAGAUGACCGUGAGCUCACACACACACACACACACAAUAAUGAAAUGGCACCAGCUGUCCUGUGAGUAAACACAGACUGGCAGCAGAGAGCUGGAGAAUCCUCUGUACACAAACCCCAGUCUGUGUGGACAGAACGGACGGACGGACGCACGCUUGCCUCUCACUCCGCGUGUAAACACACACUCGACCUGCUGCUAUUUAAACACACUGUGUGAAUAUAUAGGUAUGUGAUGUGCUACAAACUGCUAAGGUACAACCGAAGCACGCUGCAUAAGAUGUCUUCAAAAGGCAAGGGUUUGGAGAAAUUCGGUGUCAGUUUGCAAAAUGACUCAAAAUAUGUAUUAUAAUUAAUUUUUUAAAUAUGUAAAUAUUUUAAAAUAUUAAAAAUACUUAAUAUUUCAUUUUUAAAACAUUUAAAAAAUAUUGUAGAAUAUCAGCUAGCAAAAUCACUCAAAUAAUUUAGUGCUAUUUGUAGUUUUAUAAUUUUGUGAACUGUAAAUAUUUUAAAACAUUUAAAUAAUGUAAAAUAGUUUAACAUUUUUUAAAACAUUGUACCAUUUUGAAUACACUGAAUAAUUUCAAAGUCAACAUGAAUAUGCAAUUUUAUUCCAUAAUGUGACAUAUUUCUGUGGGAAAAAAAAUUCUGUAAAAGAAUAAAAAAUAUAGGACAGCAUUUUAUUUUAUCGAUUCUUUUUAAUGAACACUUUUCCUAUUCAAAUGUUAAGUUUUUAUGUUUUUUCAUUUUUAAUUUUUUAUUUAAAAGUCUGUAUUUAUCAGUAGAGUGGAAGAAUUAAAAACUAAGUUUUGGCACCUUAAAUUUCAUACAGUAAUGCAUGCUGUCUCACAAACUAUUUUUAUUAUUAUUAAAAGUCAAAUUACUCCCGUUUCAUAUAGGCUACUACAUGAGCUAUUUCAUUUAUUUAUUUAUUUAACAAAUUGAUAAUAACUGUUUCGCUCACUAUAAUCCUGCAUGUGGGUGGCAUGCUACAGUUAAAAUGUUUAGCAUUUCGUACUGCAUACUGUCUCAUACUUUUUUUAAUAGUAAGCCAUAUGUAGCACGCAGUAUAUUAGUAUUUCACUCAGUGUAAGUCAGCGAUCAUAGCAGUAGCGAGACUGUGGCUAAAGUGUCAAAGCGCUAAGCUAACGUUGGAAUCGAUGGCUUAGUCCGCUUCAGACCGCCAGAUGGUCCGUUUCUCGGCUGAAGUGAGCGUGCCAGCAGAAGUGGAGAUGUUAGCUCAACUGUGCUGUUAACAUUAGUGAGCCGAGCGGAUUCCAGCACUAAAUACAGCUAGUAGCCAAGUGAUUCACAGUGAAGAACGGAGCGACUAUCCCGAGGCGACUGAAGGGGGGGAAAUGUCUAGGUCUAUUUAAAAAAGUCACUUUAAAAAAAAAAAAGAGUUGCACUUUUCAAUGACCAACAUUAAGAAAGAUGCACCACCCCGUAUUAAUUAGCAGCUCAAUUUGAUAAUUCUGUGCGGUUAAACAAGUUGGUUGAUAUUACGAGAACUUGAAAUACAAAAAAAACUGAUGACUGGACAUUUUGGCUUUAAAUGUGUGUUUGUUUCUGAAUUAAUCGCCUUUGAACGAAUCAUUGAUUGAAAUAUCCAUUCAUAAAUACAGUCACUAUAGCUUCCUUCUUGAAUAAAUCAUCCAUUUGAACCAAUUAAAUUUAAUUAACUAUUCAGAAAUGAAGAGUUUAUUUGCAAAAACAGAUAAUUAUUUUAUUUUUUUUCAAAAAGCAUUUCAAAAUUUUUGUCAAAAUUUUUAUUAGGCCUAUGUUAUCAUGUUUUUAUUGUGUUUUAUUGUGUUAGUUAGCUGUAUUUUUAGUUACUUUUUUUCCUAAUCAAAAUAACCCAACUGCAUUUUGAUUGAGAUUAAUAGGAAUGCAUUGAAAAUUGUUGAGUUUUUGCGAAUGAACUCUUCAAAUCCUGUCACUCCCUUUGUUCUUGAAUGAAUCACCCGUUUGAAUGAAUCAAUGAUUCAAUGAUCCAUUAAUAAAUACAGUUAGUCGCUUCAUUCUUGAAUGAAUCAGUUGAAUAAAUGACUCAAUGACUGAUAAUGCUGCCAAAUACUGGCAGUUUUAGUUUCAUAUCUAAACUAUCAUUUCAUAUAAAAUAAUUUCAAUAUUCAAAAUAUUAUUUUAAAAACAUUAAUCUGAAUGGCUACAAUGACUUACUCAUUUAAGGUAUAAUUUCUUAUUUUAAAAAAAUUCAAUAUUCAUAUUAUUUUUAAAACAUUUAUCUGAAUGAAUCAACAGGGUCCAGUUAGAAUGAAUUGGUUGAAUAAAUGACUUCAAUGACUUAAAGUAUCAUUUAAUUUUUCAAAAAAUAUAUAUUUCAAUACGCAAAAUAUUAAUUUGAAAACAAUCUCAUAGCAUUGUUUAUGCAGCUGUAAUUGCAGGCUUCUUUUGCAAUUCAAAAAUGGAUUUUGCUGAUACUGAUUUAAUGUUAUUUGGUAACAGAAUAUAUUGUUUUAUUAACUUAAUUUAUUGAUAUGAAUUUGACAAAAUUUGAUGCAUAAAUCAAAUAAAGUUAGAUAAAAUGAUCUUAUGUAGGUAAAACACCUCUGGAAAUCAGUUUAAGGUGGCAAACAUGACGCUUAAUGAAAACAUUCAUUUCUGUAACUGCAAAAUAUUGUCUAAUUAAUUGACAAAAUCAGAAAAUAUUUAGAUUUUUUUGUUUUGUUUUUGUCUGUUUAUUUCUUUUCUGUUUUCUGUAGAAAUGUCCAAAGUGUAUUUUUUAACAAGCUUUUCGUUGUCAGUCAAACCACAAGCCUAACUGUGACUGGUUGCUUUACAUGUCAGUAAAGUGUCUUCCUGUCCAAAUGGGCGUUUUUAGGCAAAAGUCAGCUGCACUAUGGGUAAAAUUAGUUAAAGAAUUUGUGUUCGUUUGUGAAUAGAUUUCUUUUUUCCACAGUCAUACUGACUCCAUAUCAUCGCUGGCAGUGAUGCUAACAUCUCCAGACAAGCCGGACGUUCCCCUGCGAUCAUGUGUGAGUGAGCGAUCGCAGACGUUUUAUCCGCAAUGCAGAUCCGCUGAUGGAGGUGUGAGGUCAAGCCGAGUGUCUGUGAGUCCGAUAAACUUCCUCAGCGCUCGGGGAAUCAACUAAAACACGAGGACAAAGGCAAAAUCGACAUGCUGCAUCGUCCUUGGAAUCAAUGCCAGCUGAGGAUGAAGCGGCUCAAGAGACAAGAUCAGAAUAGUGCUUAUGAUUCACAAAAUUAAUUAUUAAUGAAAGAAUUCAUUUUGUGAAUCAAAUAGUAAAUAACAGGCACUAGUUAACUAGUUGUUUGUUGGACAGCUAGUUAUUGAAUAUCCUGAAUAUUAAUAUUUUGAAUUGAAUUUAUUUGAUAUUAUUUUAU